rnacentral:snRNA from 1 species
GGAUGUGAGGGCGAUUUGGCUGCAACAUCUGCCACCCCAUCGAUUGCCUUGGUUGCUUCGGCUGAUCUGGCUGGCCAGGCAGGUGUCCCCUUCCUGCCUCACCGCUCCAUGUGGGCCCCUCCCGAAGCCGCUCGCUCCGUUGAAGGGGACGACCUUCCCGAUAAAGAAGGACUGUUCUUCAGUCAAGGGUAUGCGAGUAGCUGGGCUCCCCUGCUAGACCCUCCAAACAAACUCUCGAGGUUCACUUGCAGGAGAACGUAGGGUAGUCAAGCUUCCAAGACCGCAGACACUUCCAAAUGAGGCACUGUACGUGGCAGUCUGCCUUUCUCA